rnacentral:rRNA from 1 species
GACGAACGCUGGCGGCGUGCUUAACACAUGCAAGUCGAGCGGUAAGGCCCUUUCGGGGGUACACGAGCGGCGAACGGGUGAGUAACACGUGGGUGACCUGCCCUCAGCCCUGGGAUAAGCCCGGGAAACUGGGUCUAAUACCGGAUAUGACUCCAUGACGCAUGUUGUGGGGUGGAAAGCCUUGUGCGGCUGAGGAUGGGCCCGCGGCCUAUCAGCUUGUUGGUGGGGUGAUGGCCUACCAAGGCGACGACGGGUAGCCGGCCUGAGAGGGCGACCGGCCACACUGGGACUGAGAUACGGCCCAGACUCCUACGGGAGGCAGCAGUGGGGAAUCUUGCGCAAUGGGCGAAAGCCUGACGCAGCGACGCCGCGUGAGGGAUGACGGCCUCGG